ensembl:misc_RNA 7SK 7SK RNA
AGAUGUGAGCAUGGUCUCACUGUGACAUCUGUCACCCCAUUAAUUGCCAGAGUUGAUGCUGCUGAUCUGGCUGGCUAGUGGGUAUCCCCUUCCACACUCAGUGUUCCAUAUGUGCUUGUCCCAAAGCUGCACCUAUGCUCGGUUGGUAGAAGAGGACAACCAGGCCCAACAGAGGACUACCAUUCCUCAGCCAAGGUAAUAGGAGUAACUGUGCUCCCCAGUAGAACAAGCUCCAAACAAGCUCUCAAAGCCCACAAGUCAAUAUGUAAAAGAAUGUCUCAUGUAUUUUUGUUUCUUGUAUUUUCAUUUUUUUUACACAUAUUUUUAAAAGCCAGUUAGUGGGAAACUAGGGCUGCCGGA